UACGGAGGGUGCAAGCGUUGUCCGGAUUUAUUGGGCUUAAAGGGUUCGUAGGCGGCCCGUUAAGUCAGUGGUGAAAGCCUCCAGCUCAACUGGAGAACUGCCAUUGAUACUGACGGGCUUGAGUACAGACGAGGUUGGCGGAAUUGAUUGUGUAGCGGUGAAAUGCAUAGAUACAAUCAAGAACUCCGAUUGCGUAGGCAGGUAACUAGGCUGUAACUGACGCUGAGGAACGAAAGCGUGGGGAGCGAACAGG
rnacentral:rRNA from 1 species